rnacentral:rRNA from 1 species
GAUGAACGCUAGCUACAGGCUUAACACAUGCAAGUCGAGGGGUAACGAGAGGAAAGCUUGCUUUCCUUGUUGACGACCGGCGCACGGGUGAGUAACGCGUAUCCAACCUGCCCCCAACUAGGGAAUAACCUUGCGAAAGUAAGACUAAUACCCUAUAAUUUCCUCAGAUGUCAUCUGACGAGGAAUAAAGAUUUAUCGGUUGUGGAUGGGGAUGCGUCUGAUUAGCUUGUUGGCGGGGUAACGGCCCACCAAGGCAACGAUCAGUAGGGGUUCUGAGAGGAAGGUCCCCCACAUUGGAACUGAGACACGGUCCAAACGCCUACGGGAGGCAGCAGUGAGGAAUAUUGAUCAAUGGGCGGAAGCCUGAACCAGCCAAGUAGCGUGCAGGAUGACGGCCCUAUGGGUUGUAAACUGCUUUUAUACAGGAAUAAAGUUAGCCACGUGUGGUUAUUUGUAGGUACUGUAUGAAUAAGGACCGGCUAAUUCCGUGCCAGCCGCCGCGGUAA